rnacentral:rRNA from 1 species
AACGAACGCUGGCGGCAGGCCUAACACAUGCAAGUCGAGCGAGGACUUCGGUCCUAGCGGCGGACGGGUGAGUAACGCGUGGGAACGUGCCCCUUGGUACGGAAUAGCCCCGGGAAACUGGGAGUAAUACCGUAUGAGCUCUACGGAGGAAAGAUUUAUCGCCAAGGGAUCGGCCCGCGUUGGAUUAGGUAGUUGGUGGGGUAAUGGCCUACCAAGCCGACGAUCCAUAGCUGGUUUGAGAGGAUGAUCAGCCACACUGGGACUGAGACACGGCCCAGACUCCUACGGGAGGCAGCAGUGGGGAAUAUUGGUCAAUGGGCGCAAGCCUGAACCAGCCAUCCCGCGUGAAGGAAGAAGGCGCUAUGCGUUGUAAACUUCUUUUCCAGGGACGAUAAUGACGGUACCUGGAGAAAAAGCCCCGGCUAACUUCGUGCCAGCCGCCGCGGUAAGAC